rnacentral:lncRNA from 1 species
UAUUUUAUUAAUUUGUAUGUGUAUUAAUGAAAUUGUGCAGAUGUCAGACCUGAUUACACGUCGUAGGGCGGUGACGACCACGCAGAGUUCGGCGCCCCCGACUCAGCCGACAUCUGCUGCCACUGCUCCAGCAUCUCCUGCCACUGCGCCAGCACUGAUGGACUACUUGGCAGUUGGACCCGCAGGGUCCCAGGGGCCUGCCUCAUCCGCGUCAUCAGUGGCGCAGCUUGUUAGUGCCAGGCGGCGUCAUCGGCCCGCCAACACCACCAACACCACAUCCAAUGAUGCGUCG